rnacentral:rRNA from 1 species
GAAUUUUGGACAAUGGGCGAAAGCCUGAUCCAGCAAUGCCGCGUGCAGGACGAAGGCCUUCGGGUUGUAAACUGCUUUUGUACGGAACGAAAAGCUUUGGGUUAAUACCCUGGAGGCAUGGCGGUACCGUAAGAAUAAGCACCGGCUAACUACGGGCCAGCAGCCGCGGUAAUAGGUAGGGUGCAAGCGUUAAUCGGAAUUACUGGGCGGAAAGCGUGCGCAGGCGGUUGUGGAAGACAGAGGUGAAAUCCCCGGGAUCAACCGGGGAACUGCCUUGGUGACUGCAAGGCUAGAGUACGGCAGAGGGGGGUGGAAUGCCGCGGGUAGCAGUGAAAUGCGGAGAUAUGCGGAGGAACACCGAUGGCGAAGGCAACCCCCUGGGAAUGUACUGACGCUCAUGCACGAAAGCGUGGGGAGCAAACAG